rnacentral:rRNA from 1 species
GAUGAACGCUAGCGGCAGGCUUAAUACAUGCAAGUCGAACGGUAAUUUCGAGCAAUCGAAAACGAGUGGCGCACGGGUGAGUAACACGUAUGCAACUUACCCUUAACUGGGGCAUAGCUCCGAGAAAUCGGAAUUAAUUCCCCAUAAUAUUUUGAACAGGCAUCUGUUUAAUCUUAAAGCUUCGGCGGUUAAGGAUGGGCAUGCGGUUCAUUAGCUAGUUGGUGAUGGUAAAGGCUCACCAAGGCUUCGAUGAAUAGCUGGUCUGAGAGGAUGAUCAGCCACACUGGCACUGAGACACGGGCCAGACUCCUACGGGAGGCAG